UACAGAGACCUCAAGCGUUAUCCGGAAUCAUUGGGCGUAAAGCGUACCGAUAGGUUGUUUAUUAAGUCUUGGGUAAAAGCCGGAAGCUCAACUUCCGCGUUUUGCUUAAGAUACUAAUAGACUAGAGGGGCAAAGAGGUGCUUGGAACGAACGGUGUAGUAGUGAAAUGCGUUGAUAUCGUUCGGAACACCGAAAGCGAAGGCAGAGCACUGGGUGCCACCUGACACUGCUAGGACGAAAGCGUGGGGAGCGAAUGGG
rnacentral:rRNA from 1 species